rnacentral:rRNA from 1 species
GACGAACGCUGGCGGCGUGCCUAAUACAUGCAAGUAGAACGCACAGUUUAUACCGUAGCUUGCUACACCAUAGACUGUGAGUUGCGAACGGGUGAGUAACGCGUAGGUAACCUGCCUGGUAGCGGGGGAUAACUAUUGGAAACGAUAGCUAAUACCGCAUAAUAUUAAUUAUUGCAUGAUAAUUGAUUGAAAGGUGCAAAUGCAUCACUACCAGAUGGACCUGCGUUGUAUUAGCUAGUAGGUGAGGUAACGGCUCACCUAGGCGACGAUACAUAGCCGACCUGAGAGGGUGAUCGGCCACACUGGGACUGAGACACGGCCCAGACUCCUACGGGAGGCAGCAGUAGGGAAUCUUCGGCAAUGGGCGAAAGUCUGACCGAGCAACGCCGCGUGAGUGAAGAAGGUUUUCGGAUCGUAAAGCUCUGUUGUAAGAGAAGAACGGGUGUGAGAGUGGAAAGUUCACACUGUGACGGUAUCUUACCAGAAAGGGACGGCUAACUACGUGCCAGCAGCCGCGGUAAUACGUAGGUCCCGAGCGUUGUCCGGAUUUAUUGGGCGUAAAGCGAGCGCAGGCGGUUAGAUAAGUCUGAGGUUAAAGGCUGUGGCUUAACCAUAGUACGCUUUGGAAACUGUUUAACUUGAGUGCAGAAGGGGAGAGUGGAAUUCCAUGUGUAGCGGUGAAAUGCGUAGAUAUAUGGAGGAACACCGGUGGCGAAAGCGGCUCUCUGGUCUGUAACUGACGCUGAGGCUCGAAAGCGUGGGGAGCGAACAGG